rnacentral:rRNA from 1 species
UGGGGAAUCUUGCGCAAUGGCCGAAAGGCUGACGCAGCGACGCCGCGUGUGGGAGGACGCCUUUCGGGGUGUAAACCACUGUUGCCCGGGACGAACAUCCAGUUUCGACUGGACUGACGGUACCGGGUGAGGAAGCACCGGCUAACUCCGUGCCAGCAGCCGCGGUAAUACGGAGGGUGCGAGCGUUGUCCGGAAUCAUUGGGCGUAAAGGGCGCGUAGGUGGCCCGGCAAGCGUGCGGUGAAAGCUCGGGGCUCAACCCCGAGUCGGCCGUGCGAACUGCGGGGCUCGAGCACUGUAGAGGCAGGCGGAAUUCCGGGUGUAGCGGUGGAAUGCGUAGAGAUCCGGAAGAACACCGGUGGCGAAGGCGGCCUGCUGGGCAGUGGCUGACACUGAGGCGCGACAGCGUGGGGAGCAAACAG